UACGUAGGGGGCAAGCGUUGCUCGGAAUUACUGGGCGUAAAGGGCGCGUAGGCGGGAUGGCAAGUCGGUCGUGAAAUCCCUCGGCUCAACUGAGGAGCGUCGAUCGAAACUGCCGUUCUUGAGGGUUGCAGAGGAGACUGGAAUUCCCGGUGUAGCGGUGAAAUGUGUAGAGAUCGGGAGGAACACCGGUGGCGAAGGCGGGUCUCUGGGCAAUUCCUGACGCUGAGGCGCGAAAGCGUGGGGAGCAAACGGGAUUAGAUACCCCGGUAGUCCACGCUGUAAACGAUGACGACUAGGUGUGGGAGGGUUCAGUCCCUUCCGUGCCGCAGCUAACGCAUUAAGUCGUCCGCCUGGGGAGUACGGCCGCAAGGUUGAAACUUAAAUGAAUUGACGG
rnacentral:rRNA from 1 species